GUCACCGCCGCCGUGCCGCUCACGGGUGCCCGGCUCGCGCACAUCGAUACUGUCUACAUAGCCAGCUUCAUUCCUGGUUCAAAGACAGUUUAGCUUUCCCUGAGACACAAGGGCUACAUUGACCGAGUCCAAACCGACAUCAUGGCAGAAAUUUCGUCAGAUGACAUGAGGAUGACUCGGAUUCGAGUCUGGACAAUCUAAUUGAUGCCGAUGACGAGGAGGCGUACGAUGACGAAUGACACGGGACCCAGGCCAUCGUGAUCAUCGCGUAAGGGAUCAUUUGUGAAAGAAAGACUACGUGCUGUAGUGAUGUGAUUGAUUGGAUUGUUUUAAGUUAUGUAGAGUCAAUAAUAUAAUGGUUUGUGGUAUGAAAUGACACUGAAAUAUGGACUCAAGUCUUCUGAUUGAGAACGGUGAAAUUGAACCAAUCACAGCUUUGAAUCUAUGCUUGAUUUUGAAAAAGUUUUAAGCUAAAUUCAGAAUAUCAUUUACGUAAUGGACAAUAUAGGACAGCAAUUGCGUGAAAAUAAUUCUAAUGAUAGAGUAGUGGUAUGUGAAAGAUCAUAUUUUGUUAGAACGAUGUUACAAAACCUGAUAGUCGAAUGUGUGUUUCGAAUCAGUAUGCAAAAUGCAUUUAAGUGCUAGAUUGUGCACUAAAACAAAAUUCUAAUACCAAUAAUAAUUCAACAUGAUUCAGAUGAAACAAUCAGUCAGUAAUGGUUUUUCGUUUUGCUCAAUAGUACCUACAUAGGUGUAAUUUGAUCUACAUUCAAUUGAUGUUCGUAGUAAAUAACCUAAAUAUAAGGAAAAGUGGUGAUCUUGUGAUAAUAUCCAUUAGUGAGAGGCAGAUGUAAUGUAGAAACUUAGUGGGUAAGCCUUGUUUUACUGCUGUUGGAUAUUUCGUAAUAACUAAUAUUAUAGUUAAUAUCUAACAGAGGUUAAACAGUUUUUAACUUUGCUAGCUUGGUGCCACCCAAACGUUUUGAAUUUAAAUGUUUUUGGUUGUAGUGAAUGUGAUACAUUAAAUAAAUGUUUUAAGGUAUCCGUCCAUCCGCCAUACGCGAUAUAUGAGCACCGCUUACGUGCUUUACAUUUUAACAACUUAUUACGUAUUUUUAUCAAGUCGCCUUAAUAGAAAACUUUGCUAGUUAAUAAGUAGGUCCUUUUAAUCAGUCUAUUUUGGUAAUAUAAAGAACGGAAUUAUUCAAAGUCGGCCUAAUAAUUAAAGAAAUUUAUUAAUAACAAUUAGAAUAAAGCUGUUACAAAUCAUCAAGUGUCGUAAGCCCAUGUCUUUUUGCAAUAAAAAUAAAUGCUGAAUCAUUAAAUAUAA